rnacentral:rRNA from 1 species
AUUGAACGCUGGCGGCAUGCCUUACACAUGCAAGCCGAACGGUAACAGGUCUUCGGAUGCUGACGAGUGGCGAAUGGGUGAGUAAUACAUCGGAACGUGCCUAGUAGUGGGGGAUAACUACUCGAAAGAGUGGCUAAUACCGCAUGAGAUCUACGGAUGAAAGCAGGGGAUCGCAAGACCUUGUGCUACUAGAGCGGCCGAUGGCAGAUUAGGUAGUUGGUGGGAUAAAAGCUUACCAAGCCGACGAUCUGUAGCUGGUCUGAGAGGACGAUCAGCCACACUGGGACUGAGACACGGCCCAGACUCCUACGGGAGGCAGCAGUGGGGAAUUUUGGACAAUGGGCGCAAGCCUGAUCCAGCAAUGCCGCGUGCAGGAUGAAGGCCUUCGGGUUGUAAACUGCUUUUGUACGGAACGAAAAGCCCUGGGUUAAUACCCUGGGGUCAUGACGGUACCGUAAGAAUAAGCACCGGCUAACUACGUGCCAGCAGCCGCCGCUGUAA